UACGGGGGGAGCAAGCGUUGUUCGGAUUUACUGGGCGUAAAGGGCGCGUAGGCGGUCGUGACAAGUCACUUGUGAAAUCUCCGGGCUUAACUCGGAACGGUCAAGUGAUACUGUCGGACUAGAGUACAGAAGGGGGCAACUGGAAUUCUCGGUGUAGCGGUGAAAUGCGUAGAUAUCGAGAGGAACACCUGCGGCGAAGGCGGGUUGCUGGGC
rnacentral:rRNA from 1 species